AGCCUGGCAUGCACCUUCGGUGAUAUGUGCUGCUGGUGGGUGGGGCCCUGGCACGCAAUCGUCCGCAUCUUCCACCCCACCUACAUCAAGCCUGUGCUCUUUGCUCCAGCCGCCGUUGCACCAAAGGACAAGGUCUUCUACAGCUUUCUGGAGCCCUGGCUGGGUGAGUAUCUGCAGGUGAACAGGGUUGGGAACAACCUGGGGGGCCGGGGAGAGAGAUGCCCUUGAGCAUGGCCCUUGGCUGCCCUGCCAGGGGAUGGGCUCCUGCUGAGUGCUGGUGACAAGUGGAGCCGCCACCGUCGGAUGCUGACGCCCGCCUUCCAUUUCAACAUCCUG
rnacentral:sRNA from 1 species